rnacentral:rRNA from 1 species
UGCAAGUCGAGCGGAAACGAUCCCAGCUUGCUGGGAGGCGUCGAGCGGCGGACGGGUGAGUAAUGCAUAGGAAUCUGCCCGAUAGUGGGGGAUAACCUGAGGAAACUCAGGCUAAUACCGCAUACCUCCUACGGGAGAAAGCAGGGGCUCUUCGGACCUUGCGCUAUCGGAUGAGCUUAUGUCGAAUUACCUGGUUGGUGAGGUAACGGCUCACCAAGGCGACAAUCCGUAGCUGGUCUGAGAGGAUGAUCAGCCACAUCGGGACUGAGACACGGCCCGAACUCCUACGGGAGGCAGCAGUGGGGAAUAUUGGACAAUGGGGGCAACCCUGAUCCAGCCAUGCCGCGUGUGUGAAGAAGGCCCUCGGGUUGUAAAGCACUUUCAGUGAGGAAGAAUGCUUGUCGGUUAAUACCCGGCAAGGGAGACAUCACUCACAGAAGAAGCACCGGCUAACUCCGUGCCAGCAGCCGCGGUAAUACGGAGGGUGCGAGCGUUAAUCGGAAUUACUGGGCGUAAAGCGCGCGUAGGCGGCUUGAUAAGCCGGUUGUGAAAGCCCCGGGCUCAACCUGGGAACGGCAUCCGGAACUGUCAGGCUAGAGUGCAGGAGAGGAAGGUAGAACUCCCGGUGUAGCGGUGAAAUGCGUAGAGAUCGGGAGGAAUACCAGUGGCGAAGGCGGCCUUCUGGACUGACACUGACGCUGAGGUGCGAAAGCGUGGGUAGCAAACAGGAUUACAUACCCUGGUAGUCCACGCCGUAAACGAUGUCGACUAGGCCGUUGGGGUCCUCGAGACCUUUGUGACGCAGUUAACGCACUAACGUCGACCGUCUGGCGAGUACGGCCGCAAGGAUAAAACUCAAAUGGAAUUGACGGGCGGCCCG